rnacentral:rRNA from 1 species
UACGGAGGGUGCGAGCGUUGUCCGGAAUCACUGGGCGUAAAGGGCGCGCAGGCGGCCUUCUAAGUCGAACGUGAAAUCCCCGGGCUCAACCCGGGAACUGCGUCCGAUACUGGGAGGCUUGAAUCCGGGAGAGGGAUGCGGAAUUCCAGGUGUAGCGGUGAAAUGCGUAGAUAUCUGGAGGAACACCGGUGGCGAAGGCGGCAUCCUGGACCGGCAUUGACGCUGAGGAGCGAAAGCCAGGGGAGCAAACGGG